rnacentral:RNase_P_RNA from 1 species
AGAGCAGACGAUCGCGGGCGCACAGACGAAAGGGUGCGCGUGAGGAAAGUCCGGGCUUCACAGGGCAGGAUACCGGCUAACGGCCGGCGGAGGCGACUCCCGGGAAAGUGCAACAGAGAGCAGACCGCUCCGGGCAGCCGGAGUAAGGGUGAAAGGGCAGUGUAAGAGACUACCGCCCGCGCAGUAAUGUGCGGGGCAUUGCAAACCCUAUCCGAAGCAAGACCGAACAGAACACAAUGGGCCGGCCCGGUCCGUGUUCAGGUGGGCCGCUUGAUGCUGCCGGCAACGGCAGUACUAGACAGAUGAUCGUCCAACGACAUAACCCGGCUUAUCGCUUUGCUU